UACGUAGGGUACAAGCGUUAAUCGGAAUUACUGGGCGUAAAGCGUGCGCAGGCGGUUUUGUAAGUUUGUCGUGAAAGCCCCGGGCUCAACCUGGGAAUUGCGAUGAAGACUGCAAGGCUUGAAUCUGGCAGAGGGGGGUAGAAUUCCACGUGUAGCAGUGAAAUGCGUAGAGAUGUGGAGGAACACCGGUGGCGAAGGCGGCAUCCUGGACCAAUACUGACGCUGAGGAGCGAAAGCCAGGGGAGCAAACGGG
rnacentral:rRNA from 1 species